UCCAGAGGUCCCAAGCGUUGUUCGGAUUCACUGGGCGUAAAGGGUGCGUAGGCGGUCGGGUAAGUCUGCUGUGAAAGCCCCGGGCUCAACCUGGGAAUGGCAGUGGAUAUUGGCAAGCUAGAGUGCGGUAGAGGGUAGUGGAAUUCCCGGUGUAGCGGUGAAAUGCGUAGAGAUCGGGAGGAACACCAGUGGCGAAGGCGGCUACCUGGACCAGCACUGACACUCAGGCACGAAAGCGUGGGGAGCAAACAGG
rnacentral:rRNA from 1 species